rnacentral:rRNA from 1 species
CCCUUAGAUGUUCUGGGCUGCACGCGCGCUACACUGAUGCACUCAACGAGUUUACGACCUUGCCCGAUAGGGUUGGGUAAUCUUUUUAAAAUGCAUCGUGAUGGGGAUAGAUUAUUGCAAUUCUUAAUCUUCAACGAGGAAUUCCUAGUAAGCGCGAGUCAUCAGCUCGUGCUGAUUACGUCCCUGCCCUUUGUACACACCGCCCGUCGCUCCUACCGAUUGAGUGCUCAGGUGAAUAAUUCGGACUGCAGCAAUGUUUGGAUCCCGAACGUUGCAGCGGAAAGUUUAGUGAACCUUAUCACUUAGAGGAAGGAGAAGUCGUAACA